rnacentral:lncRNA from 1 species
UUUAUGAGUUUUGAUGUACCGAAGGAGUUCGGAGUCCCGGAUGAGAUCGGGGACAUGACGAGGAGUCUCGAAAUGGUCGAGACGUAAAGAUCGAUAUAUUGGACGACUAUAUUCGGAGUUCGGAAAGGUUCCGAGUGAUUCGGGUAUUUUUCGGAGUACCGGAGAGUUACGGGAAUUCGUAUUGGGCCUUAAUGGGCCAUACGGGAAAGGAGAAAAAGGGCCAAAAGGGUGGCCGCCGCCCUCCCCUUGGUCUAGUCCGAAUUGGACUAGGGAGGGGGGCGCACCCUUCCUUCCUUCUCCUUCUCUUUUCCCUUUCCUUCUCUCCUACUCCUAAUACAUGGAAGGACUACUAGUUGGACUAGGAAAGGGGGAAUCCUACUCCCGGUGGGAGUAGGACUCCCCAUGGCGCACCAUAGAGAGGGCCGGCCUCCUCCUCCCUCCCUCCUUUAUAUACGGGGGCAGGGGGCACCCCAUGAACACACAAGUUGAUCUACGGAUCGUUCCUUAGCCGUGUGCGGUGCCCCCCUCCACCAUAUUCCACCUCGGUCAUAUCGUCGCAAAGCUUAGGCGAAGCCCUGCGCCGGUAGAACAUCAAGAUCGUCACCACGCCGUCGUGCUGACGAAACUCUCCCUCCCCGAAGCUCUACUGGAUUGGAGCCCGAGGAGCGUCAUCGAGCUGUACGUGUGUCAAGAACUCGGGGGCGCCGGAGUAACGGCGCCGGGAUCGGUCGGAUCGCGAGGAGAACGUACGACUACUUCCUCUACGUUGUGAUCGCUUCCGCUUCGGUCUACGAGGGUACGUAGACAGCACUCUCCCCUCUCGUUGCUAUGCAUCACCAUGAUCUUGCGUGUGCGUAGGAAAUUUUUUGAAAUUACUACGUUCCCCAACACUACAAGUCAAUGCGUUCAACUGAACGUUACAUUCUUUGAGCACUGCGACUCUAUCAUACGAGCGCCACGCAUAACUUCCCCGAAAUAAUGCUCGGCAGGAAGCCGGUUUCCAUCCGAACCCUGGGCAGCAACAGCGGUGGCAUCCAUCUCCGGACACCGCGCCUUUACACGGGCCAGAGCCAUCCGCGCGCCCUCGAUGUAGGCCGACCGUUUCAUCUCCUUGAUAUGCGGCACCGCCCCAAGGAACUGCUGCAGUAGGCCGAAGUAGCUCGUCGCCUUGGACCUCUCUGGCCAUAUAUGGGCCACGAUGUCAGUCAUAGCCAGCCUGGACAGUCUAUUCAGUUCGGCCCAUUCGGCCAACCUGUCCGUCAGCGGAAGAGGGCGAUCCGGACUGUGGAAUUGAGUCCAAUAUAACUCUUCCGCCUCGUGAUCCCCCUGGCUCCGGAAGUGCUUAACGGCAUCAGCCGCACUCGCAGCCAAAUCCAUAUAUGGCCUCCGAACUCCACAGCCGCUCAAAUUGAGCGUACUUGGCAUCCAUAAACCGGCGACGCAUAAGAAACGGCUUGCCAGCCGUGAUUUCUCCGGCUUGGCGCAGCUCCUCCUUCAUAGCCCGCAUUGCAGAACAGGCAUCCUUGGCUUCGGCGGUGGCCUUCUUCAGGUCUUCCCGCUCCGAUAAGCGCUCCUUUUCAAGAGCCUCAUUGCGGUCGGUAGCAUCCUUUAAUUUCUUGGCCAAUUCGGCCACCUCUGCUUAGGCAGUGCGCCGCCUUCUCGGCUUUCAACUCUUCGGCCGCCCUCGCGGCAGCCACGUCACUCCUUCGGGCUUGCUCCUUAGCCAGAGCAAGUUCGGCCCGAAGGCUCUCCACAGCAGCAGCACUAUCUGUAUUAACAACAUAUAACUUAUCAGAGGCGGGCUUGGACCCACUCAAUAAAGCAGCUGCGGAGAACUUACUUACCUUGCGACUCAUCAAGUCGCUGAUUGACAAGGGCGAUGUCAGCAUCUGCCACGUCAAGUUGUCGACUUAAUUCGACAAACUCACUAGUCCGGCUGGCCCCCGGACUAUCCGCCACCUGUAUCAGAGCGGCGGUAUUCAUUGCCUGAGAUGUUGAGAUUUUGAUCCUUGGCACGCUGUCGUUUUCGACAACCUACCGAGUCUCAGGGGCUACUAUCUAUACAGGGCGCAUUUUUUAUAUGCAAAACUGUUAAAAAACAAAGGGGUGCAUCAUUUUCGCAUACCUCAAAUCCCGCCAGCAAGCUCAGGGCGGCAUUACGCAAUCCGCUUUCAGCGGACGAAAUCCUUCCGACCACCGUACGCAUUAAUACGCGGUGAUCUUCUGAAAUGGACGCCCUCUCAAGCAAACUCUUCAGUUCUCCCGGCCGGACUCUGGUGGGUGUUGAACUCUUUGGCCCCUCCGGACUCGGGGACGCCCUCCGUGACGACACUUCGGGCUCGCCUGCCUCAUCCGGCGGCGCGUCAGACGGAGGCGUAUCGCUCUCCAUCAUCUCCGGAAGAAGAUCCCCCGAGGAUGAACUCAUCUGAGACGGCUGCAGAUCCGAACUGCGACAUAAAUAUUCCGGUUACCUACAGAAGCGUAAACGAAGGUACUUCCUUAUUAAACUUCCUCUUUCAUACUCACGGCUCGUUGGAGGGCCGGUCCUUGGGCGAUGAUUGCGCGCCCGGAUUCCCUCCGGACGCCGGACCCCCCGGUGGGGAUUUCUUCCCACGCUUAGGGGCUUUGACCUCCGGAUCUUCGGAGGCGGUCCUCUUCUCCCUCUGAAGGGAGGGAUCCUUGGUUCCCUCCUCUUCAGUCGCCCCUUUGGACGAAGUAUUAGCUCCUUUAUCUCCCCCGUCGCCCCCCUCUGUGGGCGCAACCUCCAACAUUCUGACCAGCACGGGCUCCAGUGCGGUCUCUGGGAGGGGGGCCGGACACCUUAUCAGCCUUGAUCGCGCCACCCAUUCCUAUAAAGAACAAAAAGGGUCAGGAGAUGAUCUUUUGAAAGGCAUACAAAUAGAAUGUCCGAGCUCUGAGCUACUUACCUGAGUAUCCGGGCGAUCGCGGCUUAAGCCCGCGUCCUCGGCCGAAUCCGGACACGCUACCUGCGGUCCGAAGAACAGCUUGUACAUCUCCGUGGGUGUCGCGCCCAUAAAAUGCUGGAGAAUACGAGGUCCCUCCGGAUUGAACUCCCAUAGACGGAGAGGACGACGUUUGCAGGGCAGGAGAUGCCUGAUUAGCAUGACUUGCAUCACCUUGACCAGGUCGAUCUCCCCUGUUCGGAGGUCUUGAAUCCGGCCCUGCAGUGCGGGCACGUCCUCGGACGGCCCCCAGUUGAGCCCUUGGUUGACCCACGACAUUAGUUGCCGUGGAGGUCCCGGGCGGAAGGAGGGCGGUGGCUUUUGCUUGCUGCCCCUUGGAGCAGUGAUCUAAAACCACUCCUGCUGCCACAAUCCCUGCUCCUCUUGGAAGGAACCUUCGAGCCACGGGGCAUCGACCUUCUUGCUUAUGGUCGCCCCGCCGCACUCCGCUUGACGCCCCCCGAUCAUCUUCGGCUCCACCUUGAAUGUUUUCAGCCACAGGCCGAAGUGGGGGAUGACGCGGAGGAAGGCUUCGCAGACGAUAAUGAAUGCGGAGAUAUGGAGGAUGGACUCCGGAGCCAAAUCAUGGAAGUCCAGCCCGUAGUAGAAAAGGAGCCCUCUCACAAAGGGAUCCGUCGGGAAGCCUAAUCCCCGACGGAGGUGAGAUGCGAAAACGACGCGCUCGCCGGGCUCGGGGGCUGGCACGGCCUGCCCUGGGGCAGGCAACCUGUGCGAAACUUCGUAGGCCAGGUACUUGGCCUCCCGCAACUUGAAAAUGUCCUCCUCCGUGACGGAGGAGGGCAUCCACCGGCCCUGGAGGUCGGAGCCGGAAAUUGUAUAGGAUCCGAAGCGCUCGAAUCUGAAGCUCGGGGUGUUGGAACUAGGAGCAGAGGAAAGAUUCGAUGCGAGAUUGAAGAACAAGGACAGGCCUUGGUCCUCUUAUAAAGGGGGAAGAAAUACCAAGGCCCGUCUCCGUGACCGUUUGAGAUUCCUGUUCGAUAGAGGAGGCGUGGCGACGGGGACGGUUGGGUUACCCACACACGUAUUGAUGAGGAUCCCGGAAUAAAAGGGAACACGAUCUCUGCUUCGACAGGACGUGCCAAGGAAAUUGCUUCGCUAAACGUGCUGAGGCGGAAUAAUAAAAACGAUUCGAACAAGGGCUUGGCUGCGGUGUGAUGUCACGCCGCAUAAUACGUCAGCAGAUUGAGCUAAGUGUAUAUUUUAUCCUCUCUACGUUGGAGUGUGGAAUUUAUUUUGCAGAGUCGAAUACUAUCCUGGUAUUCAUUAUCUUCUCCGGAUUAUUCAAGGGAGGAACCCGCCUUGCAAUGCCGAACAUUAUGCACGCCGGACUUAUCGUCAUUGAAGACUGGUUAAGGGGCUACUGAGGGAGUCCUGGACUAGGGGGUGUCCGGACAGCCGGACUAUCAAUAUCCGCCGGACUCCCAGACUACGAAGAUAGAAGAUUGAAGACUCCGGCUCGUGUCCGGAAGGUACUUUCCUUGGCGUGGAAGGCAAGCUUGGCAAUACGGAUAUGUAGAUCUCCUACCAUUGUAACCGACUCUGUGUAACCCUAGCCUCUCCGGUGUCUAUAUAAACCGGAGGGCCUUAGUCCGUAGGACAACAUUACAUCUCAACAAUCAUACCAUAGGCUAGCUUCUAGGGUUUAGCCUCCUUGAUCUUGUGGUAGAUCUACUCUUGUACUACCCAUAUCAUCAAUAUUAAUCAAGCAGGACGUAGGGUUUUACCUCCAUCGAGAGGGCCCGAACCUGGGUAAAAACAUUGUGUCCCUCGUCUCCUGUUACCAUCCGCCUAGACGCACAGUUCGGGACCCCCUACCCGAGAUCCGUCGGUUUUGACACCGACAUUCCUCCUUUCCUUCUUUGAAGUACCGGUAGGGGUACGGAAAAGAUUGGAUUUUUAUCGAUCUGGAUUUUUUUGGCAAAUCGACGAAAAUAAAACUAAAUACAGGUUGGCAAAUGGGACACUAUUUGUAGACCGAAGGACCAAGGUGGCUUACCUAUUGAAAACCUUGAAGUGAAAAAUAAGUGAUUACUUAGCAAAUGGUUAUACCGAUUGGCGGUAGAGAGGGAUGGAGUAUGGAUUUAGCUGUUGCAUAAUAAAUAUUUACAUUGUAAAACGUUGGCUCAAGGGACAUCACAUCCAUCCGACUCUCCGUUUUGGAAGGAGCCUAUGAGGACAAAGGUUGCCUUCUUUAACUGGAGUAAGUUUAUUGUAUGGAAUGGACAUGGGACUAGGUUUUGGACGGACACUUGGUUGGGUGAGACUCCACUAGCCUUGCAGUAUCCGUCCUUAUAUAACAUGAAAACAGAAUGAGCGGUCGGUGAAAAUCCAAUGGCUGAAAUGGUUGAGUUGACCAGAUCUGAUGGCCAGGAAUGCCACAAAUCGAGAGCUCACCAUGGAAGCAAGUUGGCUAGGGUCCUUGUAGGUUAGAAUUGCACAACGGAAAAAAGUUUAUGUUGCUAUAGUGUUGUGAUACGUUCUUCUUAACAUUCAGUUCAGAUGGUCGUUAGUGGGUCAAAGAUUGGAUAGAUGGUUGCAUCUCGUGCGCAUGUUAAUGCAGGUAAACUUAUCUGAUGCAGCAGACUCCUUAUUUUGGAAGUUGUCCGCUUUAGGAGAGUUCUUAGUUAAAUCUAUGUAGACAGACUUGAUUAACACCGGGCCCAUCCUGAGGGCGAUCCACAUCUGAAAGAUUAAGGUACCAUUGAAAAUCAAGGUGUUUAUGUGGUUUGUGCAUAAAGGAGUAAUUUUGACAAAAGAUAACUUGGCUAAGUGUAGUUGGGAAGGAAGUAAAAGAUGUUGCUUUUGUGACACAGACGAAACAAUAGAGCAUCUAUUCCUCCAAUGCCCACUUGCUAAAUUAUUGUGGCGAACCAUUCAUGUUGCUUUUAAUAUUGUUCCGCCUCGGUCUCACAUUUAUUUGGGUCUUGGUUAAAUUGGAUAGAGCCCAAAACAGCGACACACAUUUGAGUUGGGGUAUGUGCAUUACUUUGGCUCAUUUGAAAUUAUCGAAACGAUGUUGCCUUUUACAGACAAACCAUCACCAAUUUUUUGCAGGUUAUCUUCAAGGCGUCUACUUGGAUCUGUAUGUGGUCAUUACUCAACCAUGUGGACCACAGGGAGCAUAUAUGGAUAUUGGGUGCAACCGAUGGGAGAUGAUUGCACGGGAUACUUAUAACCGGUUUGGAUGCGGUCCAAUAAUAGGAUAGGUUUUAGUCAUCUUACCCUAUUUUCCUUAGUUGUGGCAAAUUCCUUUUUUGAGACUUGUACUUUUGUUUGAGACUUCGUGUUGAACUUGGAUUAUAAAUAAAAUGGUUGUGUGCAUCAAAAGAUGCAGAGGUCGAGGGUUUUCCUCCUUUUCGAAAAAAAAAUUGUACUCAAGUUGCUCGUCCGGAAAAUCAAGGCUUGUCUACCUCUCUUGUCUUUUCACAUGGAGCGUGUACUGGCCAUACUACUAAGACUAGCCACUAGAAUAAUAAAUUUGGUUUUGCCAAUUCUCACUCCGAUGAGAAUUAACUAAAUCUCACUCAACAACACGGUAUGGAUUUACACGAAGAUUGAUGCAUAUUUUUCUUUUUUUUGUUCCGUUUGAUUGUUUUACAAUUUUUUAUUGUUUUGGCUAGCGAGCAUGCACUACAGUUGUGUGGCCGACUGGCGGAACUUGAUCCAUCAUUUGUAUGUGGCCUUUGAAUUACAUGAUGAGGUCAUUGACAAGGAUGACAAACCAAAUUCCUUUAACAGGAGGUGAAGUUCUACAAACCAUUUUAAUUUUUUAAAAUACUGGCGAUAGAAUAUAUGCAUAAGCUACAUUUGGAAACCAAAUAUAAAAAACAUAAGUCAUCAUGGCACAUCCUAUUACUUGCCAUUCCCAAUGAAUGGUAUUCUCGCCUGUUGAUUUUAGAUAGAAUUGCAACUAAUGUAAUUUCUUGUGCUAUAUUAAUUUGAAUUUUCAAUUCCAUAAUUUUUGGUAUGUCAAUGUGUUAUUUUACACCGGUCAUUGGCAUAUUUUCCAAAAUUAAAAAGUGCAACAAAAAGGUGUACGGAAACAGGGAAAGGAAAAACUGAAAGUGAAAGUUAUAGGGAAAUUAGAUAAAUAUACAAUAAAAUGUCAUAAUUCUACAUGAAAAUACUAAUAUAGCACAAUAAAAUAUAUUAUGUGUAAUAUGAACCUCCCUAAGGCCACAUGUUUAUCUAUCGGUCACUUUGAACAUACUGAAGAUGAUGCUCUCUUUUUUGUGAAUGCCAUCAAGCUAGUUACUAGACCAGAAAAAUAGAGACCAAACGGGUAGAGCACACAAGUAUAGUGAUCCAUGAUAUGCAGCAAAGCAUGUACAACUAGUUAAGAGCAUUUAUAGUCGGGCGUUUCAAACCAAUCUCAAACGACUGGGAUGACCGACACCCCUUAUAUCAAGCCCAAAUCUGAGCAGAUAUGGGGUAGCCCAGGAGCGUCCGCCAUGUUGGACUGAUGACCGGGUCUCACACACGUAAUCGCCCAUAAACCCAACGUUCGAUGGGCGUUUCCUCUGGUGGUGGUUGUAAAAGUGAUUUGGGAAGCGUAGAACCCUUUGUCUCGGGCCGCAUGCAUAUAUUAGGCAGAAGCCUUGGCACACAAGUUUACAGGGGGAGAGAUCAAUCAGAUGGGAUCGAUCAAGUCGUUACAGAAGGAUCGUGAAAGACAGAAGAAGAGAUAGAACAGAAUACAGAAUUUAAACCAACUCUAUCUCUAUAUAACUUCUACUACACUUCUACUAUACGUAUAUUCCAACACUCCCCCUCAAUCUAAACCUCAAGGAGCUUUGCCAAGGUUAAGAUUGUACUUGAAAUCAUUCAACCUCCUUUCAAUAAGGGGUUUUGUAAAACCAUCGGCAAGUUGAUCUCCUGUGGGAAUAAACCGAAUCUCCAGAAGCUUUCGAGCUACUCUUUCUCUGACAAAAUGGAAAUCAACUUCAAUGUGUUUAGUCCGUGCAUGAAAAACAGGAUUUGCUGAGAGAUACGUUGCACCAAUAUUAUCACACCAUAAUCUCGCAGCCUGUGGAGUUUUAACUCCAAGCUCAUAAAGUAAUGUUUGUAUCCACAUUACUUCUGCUGUGGCAUUAGCCAGAGCCUUAUAUUCAGCCUCUGUGCUUGACCUGGACACUGUAGCCUGUUUUCUUGCACUCCAUGACACAAGGUUAGUUCCCAGAAAUACAGCAAAACCACCUGUAGAUCUUCUAUCAUCAGCACAUCCUGCCCAAUCAGCAUCAGAGUAUGCAGUAACAAGCAGAGAAGAGGACUUGGUAAUGUUGAGACCAAGACCUUUUGAGAACUUGAGAUACCUUAAAAUUCUUUUGACUGCAGUCCAAUGUGUGGUUCUAGGUGCAUGUAGAUAUUGACAUACCUUGUUCACUGAAUAAGAUAUAUCAGGACGGGUGAGAGUUAAAUACUGCAAGGCACCUACAACACUCCUAUAAUUUGUUGCAUCCUCUCGUCCAAGAACUUCUCCACUUUCCACUGUAAGCUUCUCAGAGGUAGAAAUCGGUGUGUUAACUGGCUUGCAAUUUUCCAACCCUACUCUCCUGAGAAUAUCAGUUGUAUAUUUUUCCUGUGAGAGAAGUAUGCCAUCUUUAACUUGCUUUACCUCUAUACCAAGAAAAUAAUGAAGAUCACCCAAGUCCUUAAGAGCAAACUCCAGCUUCAGAUCUUUAAGCAAGCAAGUAGUGGCAUCUGAACUUGAACUUGCAACAAUUAUAUCAUCAACAUAAACCAGCACAAAAAUAGUAACAUUGCCUUUGCUAAAGAAGAAUAAUGAGGUAUCUGCCUUGGAUGGUCUGAACCCAAGACGUUGCAACUGCAUACUUAGUCUGGAGUACCAGGCUCUUGGGGCCUGCUUCAAACCAUACAAAGCUUUAUCCAACUUACAGACAUGUUGUGGUGUGCUAGGAUUCUCAUAACCUGGUGGUUGCCGCAUGAACACUUCUUCCUCAAGAACACCAUGAAGAAACGCGUUCUGAACAUCUAGCUGUCUUAAACUCCAUCCUCUGGAAACAACAAUAGACAAGACAAGGCGAAUAGUAGUUGACUUAAUAACAGGACUGUAUGUAUCUUCAUAAUCAAUUCCAAACCUCUGUUUAAACCCUUUGGCAACUAGUCUAGCCUUAUACCUGUCUAUGCUUCCAUCAGACUUUCUUUUGAUUUUGUACACCCAUUUGCAAUCAAUAACAUUGUUUCCAUACUUUGGUGGAAGCAAAUGCCAGGUUUUAUUUUUCAUAAGUGCAUCAUAUUCACUAUCCAUAGCUUCCUUCCAAUUCUUAUUAUCAAGAGCAUCAUCCAAACUUAGUGGUUCACCAGUGGUGGUAAGAAAAGCACGUUUGAUUUUGUCAUACCUUAUUGUACCAUCAUUGUACUUUUUUUCCUUGAUGGUACCUGACCUGGACCGUGUUUGCCGAGGAGAAACCACUACUAGGGAAAAGCCUAGCAGCAGCGCGGGUUUGGGCCCUCUCAGUAGCGCGGGUACCGGCGCUACUAAUAAGGCGCUACAGCUAACGUAUAGCAGUAGCGCGUGCUGACACACGCUACUGCUACACAUGAAUAGCUGCAGCGCUGUUUAGAAAAGGACGCUACUGGUAUUAUCUGCAGUGCUGUUUUGGUGUAAGCGCUAAUGGUAAGUCGGCGCUACUGCUAAAUCCCCCCCUCGCUACUACUAGUUUUAUUAGUUUUUUUUCCCUGCAGAUUUGUUUUUUAUUUGUUUUGCAUUUGAAUAGGCUUUAUACAAUAAUCUUUAGCAUAUCAUCCACAUACAAAUGUAAUCAUAGCAUAUACAUACAAUUAGUCUCAUCAAAUCAUGUCAUCAUCAUAAUCAUCAUCCAACACAAAGUGGUCUCUCGUCAUCAAUCUCGAAAAUAGCGAUACAAGUCUCGAUUACUUGCAAAUACAUCAUCAUCCAUCUAAAUAAUGAUAUACAUGAGAAUAGCUAUCACUUUGAGUACAUGAGUUCGUAUCCCUCUCUCGCAUUAGCGUGAACCUAAACUAAGUACUGCGUGUCGCUCGGAAACCGAAAACCGGUACACCUGGGCCUGACACUCCGGCCACUUGUCGUAUAUAUACUCCUGGCGUAGCACUUCUUCGCCAUUUAUGAUCUAUGCACCUGCAUCGUCACAUGAGUCGAUGAUAUGCAACAUAUAUAGUUGAGCAACACAAAGAGAUAGACUUGGCAAAAAUAGAAACAACAUAUCAUAAGCAUAAAUAACAAAGUUCAUCGUACCGAAAUGACCUAACUAGAGUGAUUUUCGCUAGUCGAGGAGGACGGUUUAAUUACAUCACAAAUAAAGUUUCACCGUGCAUAACUCAAAGUUUUGUCAUAAAAGAAACUAUGGACUAAACGGACACAUUGUCAUAUAUCGACAAUCACUCCAUCAUGUCGUGCCAUCCAUCCAAGUCAGGGAGAUAGUCAUCGAGCUUUGUGAAAGGCUUCAUGUCGAGACGCUGAGAGGCUAUCCAUGUUCGGACGUCUUCCCGCGACAUUUGUCCUUCUGCAUGGAACAUCCCUGUUUUUCCGACGACCUCAUUCAUGAUGAUUUGGGCAAGUUCGCACUGGAUGUUAUAGAACUCAGCUCAAAGUCGAUGAUCCUCGAUAUCUCCUAUGUCCUUUGCCCAUUGCAGAAUAUGGGCAUCGCUAGAUCUAGGUGCCAUGUGUAGGUUCUGGUGAUCCCGUCGGUACUCCAGCAUGUGGUGUAGGACAUAGAAUCCAUCAUUAAGAGAAUCGUUCGGUUGCUGGAUGCAGCAGAAGUCGGUCUUAUGGCUGAAGGCGUGCCUGCCGCCCCUUUUCUUCUUGUCCCUAACCUCUCCACCCCUUGCUUGGUAGUAAAACAUAGCAUUGUCGAGAACAUCUUUGAUGUGGGUGUAAUCCUUUUUGUGAAUGUUCUUCGACGAGUCCAAGUAAAGAGCGUGGGAGAAUCAGGGGUAGAGGAUGAUGAGGACGGCGCGCCCGCCGCUGCGCAAAAUAAGUACACCUUAAAUUAAUUAGCCUCCACCGUGCAAAUGAAUUAUUGAAAUCGAAGGAAGGAUAGCAGCGCAGAUGACUUACACGGGAUGAUAAGGCACGAGAAUCGCCUCCUUGUCCUUAUUGGCGAGCAUGAAACUGACGAUGUAAUCCCUCGCGUAUUCACGAUGAUGUGCACAGACUCCCAAGAAGGCCUCGUGCAUGUAGUACGGGUCAGCGACACGGAUAUGAGCUAUCUGCUCAACCCCAAUGAUGUAGCUCAUGUGCAAGGCAUAAAGGUGGACAAAAGUAAAAUCCAGCUUCUUCACGUGAAACAUGUCGAAUAUGUAAUCGAAUCGGAGGAAGAACUUAUCCGCGGGGAAGCCAUUGACGUACGACAUUUGCUACGGAACGUUAACCACGUAGAGUGGGUAUCCUGGAUCUUUCGAGGCGAUGAGGCCUUUCUCUACCCGCAGCACAUCGUCAUGAAGUCUCCUUAGAUCGCCGAAUCUGGCCCGUAGCGCUGUUUCAGGUAGGAUUGGUUUACCCGGGAUAUGCCACUUAUCCGCAUCGGGGAUAUCUACACGGUCCCGAAGCCGAGGCUGCUGAGGCGGCUGGAUCAUAGAAUCAGCUUUUUUGCCUUUCCUCGCUCUCUUCCUAGGCUUCUUUACCACUGGAUGGUCGUCAAUAACACGUUGAGACGGUAAUUCAGGCACCGACUCAUGAUGCUCAAACCCUGAGGAGGCGCCAGUAUAGACAUACUGUUCAGCGCCAUCGUCAUCCUCAUCCUCAUCCAUGGUGACAUCAUCAGCCUAAUGGAGCCACCUGCUUACCCCGUCCGCUAUCACCCAACCCGACACCCGACGCUAAUUGGGUAGGUGGGGUGUUGAUGUUCAUACCUUGCUGAAGCUGCGUGCUCGUGGGUGUGCUCCCGGCCGCCUCCAGACGAAGCAGACUCUUUGGCCACAACAGGACCCACCCAUUGCAACAAUCACCAAGCCGCCGAGGGGUCUCGUCGUCAUCCCCCACUAGUAUUAGAGGAGGCAAAUUCUCGUGGCCCGGUUUGACACUGGCCACGGAAACCUUGAAGACGUUCGGGGGGAUCGACCGGCUGUGGAACAAUGGUUCCUUCGGCUCCAUUAUCGUCCCCUUCCCCACGUCCACCUUCUGUUCGCUGAUGGUGUACAAUAUGGUGCACGGGGUUUCGUCGACCUGCAAAUAAAAGUCUGCGACGUGAGACAUCCGAAAGGCAACGAAAACGGGAGAUUAUACAUUUAUAUUGAAGGGGGCCGGUGUGGAAGAUACCGUGAGGGCGUCGAGCUCAGCCAAAGAGGAGGCACCACCGAGCACGUCCGGUGCGGCAGCCGGUGCGGGAGCCGGUGCGGGAGCAGGUGCGGGAGCCGGUGCGGGAGCAGGUGCGGGAGCCGGUGCGGGAGCAUGUGCUGCCAAGAAGUCAGCAAGGGGAAAGUCCUCUGCAUUUUUUUGGAUUUUCCCUUGUCCAAGUGUGAACGCCCGUCACCAAGGAAGUAGAUAUAUCUGCAAUCGCCUGUUUUGCGGCAGCUACCGCUGUUGCGACUGUCUGAGAUGAUUUCUUCUCAACCGCAAUCUCAACCUUCUUGUCGAUGCUUUCUUCAGUUAACCUCCGUCUUUCCUUUUUCUCCUCCGUGGUCUCACGGUAGUACUUCUUCCACGUGGCGCCGUCUCCGACACCGUGCACGCGUCCAUACGACGGUCGAGUAUCCACCGGUUAUCGUUUCAAUAUGUUCAACGCCCGGUUGAAUGGAGUGUCCCACUUGGGCCUCGCCAAUGCCUCAGACGGUGAGUCGCUUUCGGCCGCAAUCCGGUGUUGCUCUCUCUGCAAAAGGCACAAGGAUCGUUUACAAAUAUGACUAACGUGUGCAGUCGAAUUGAUGAGAAACUAAAAUUACCAGCAGUCUCAUGAACUCCGUAAUGACCGGUGUUGUCUCAUAAACCUUCUUCAGUGGGUCCCAACGGUGGCGGGCCCUCAGGACGUCACGCUCCUGCGGGACGGUGAAAUCCGCCAAGGGGUCUGGGAUGCCCAGACUCGCGGCUUCCGCGUCCUCCUUGGCCCAUUUGGACCUCUUUCCGCCGUAACCACGGCUUCCGAGGUGGUGGGUCCCAAUGUUCCUCUUUUGAAGCCCCUUCAUGUACUUAGACUUUUCUUUGGCAGCUUCGGCCUCGCAAGCCUCCUUGAAUAUUUGAAACUGCUCUUCCGUGAUUGUCGGACUUUCCUUUACAAUCUCGGAGUAGGGUUCCCCGUCGUUGAUCUUUGCUUUCACUCGAUUUUUCCAGGCGGCCAACGCGUUGCUAAACUUGGUCAUGGCGUGUUUGUUUAUCUUCUUCAUUGCCGGGUCAUUGUCUGGAUCUUCAUAAUCCUUCUCAUUCCGGCCCGGGAACAAGAAUAUUUGGUGAAACUUCUUUAGGAGGGAGCUCCUCAUAUUUUCUACCUUCUUUAGAUUCUCAUCGUUGAUGGUGGCGGUUGUCCGUAUGAUGCAGCCUAUUUGAUUGCCGUAGCACGCGCGCGCUUCCUCGGGCGCCUUUGGCUCAAAAUUGCCGUUGUCCACCUCGGUGACCACCAGUCUAGUAGUCCUGAGUUUGUUAGGAACCCGUUGCCUCUUCGCUUUCGGUGCUACACCGGAUCCGCUCCCUGAGGCAGCACCGGUCUCAGCGCCGGUCUCGAUGCCGGUCUGAAUCUCAGCGCCGGUGUCAGUCUCAGCACCGGUCUGCGUAUCGGUCUCAGCACCGGUCUGCGUGUCAGUCUCAGUCCCCGAUGCCGGGCCCAGCAACAACAUCUGUUGAUCGUCGGUAAAGCUAAAAAAUUCGUCUGCCGCCCGGUAGACGUCGUCACAAUCACCAGAACCCUGUCCUUCAUCGUUGCUAGCCAUGUUUCCUAUGAUUAAAUCUAGUCAAUUAAUUCUAGACCUAAUAAAAUGAAUAAUGACAUAAAAAAGGACUAUUGUUUUGCAGGAAUGUUGACUCCUUCUUGGUGCGGCAAAUCCCGGGCACUCGAUAUGUCCUAGUUUGUAGCACAAGUCAUGCCGAAAUUCACGGGAAAUUUCGGCAUGACCUUUGCUAAAAAGUGGACAAAUCGAGAACCUGAAAUUUGCCGGAACAGAAAUGAAUCAACAUUCCGGCAAAACACAGGCCACUCAGCAUCAUUCCCUGGAAACAACAAAGCCACCACUUGGGCACAAUCGAACAACUUCAAUGAAAAGAUAUAACAUGACCACUUCAAUGAAAAAUAAAAUUUGCCUAAAUUCUUUUCCUUGAAAAAUAGUGGUCUUUUGAAAAAUCAAAAACCUUUGCCAAUCUACUUAACCUAGCUUCUUAAUCCAACGAACCUAAUUAACCUACCUAUUUAACCUAGUUAGUUAAUCUAGUUUACCUAGAUAAUUAACCCUAAUUAAACUAGUUAACGCAGCUAGUUCUCUGUCAAAGCCUAAAAUAAAUUUUUGCACUAAUUAACAUGGAUAAUUAACCUAAUUAAACUAGUUAACCUGACUAGUUCUCUGUCAAAGCCCUAACUAAGUUUUUGCACUAACCUAGAUAAUUAACCUAAUUAAACUAGUUAACCUAACUACUUCUCUGUCAAUGCCCUAACUAAAUUUUUGCCCUAACCUAGAUAAUUAACCUAAUUAAAAACUGGCUAACCUAUGCAUGAGAGAGAGAGGAGGGGUGGGGGCUUACACAUGAUGGCUCCGGUGGUGGCGACGGAGACAGUGUGGUGGCGAGGGAGGCAGGGGCGUCUCCGGUGACGGCGAGGGAGGCAGGGGCGUCUCCGGUGACGGCGAGGAAGGUGGCGUCGACGGUGGCUCCGGUGGCGUUGACGAGGCCGCGCGGCUCCAUGGCGUUGGGGGCGGCUCCGGUGUCGUCGACGGCGCACGGCUCUGGUGCGCGUCGUCGGCGGCGGCGAAGUGUGGGGCGACGAAUCGGGGAGACGGCAGCGCGCGCGCGGGGUGGGUUUGAGGGAUUUGGGGGAAGUGGUGGCCGGGGGGGGGACGGUUUUUUGGCUAAGUCAAACUUAGCGGUAGCGCGUUUCGCAAAACGCGCUAUAGCUAAGUUAGCUAUAGCGCUUUCCUCAAAACGCGCUGCUGCUAUAGCUAAUUUCCUAUUCUGUUUCUAUAGCGGGGGUCUAGGGCACGCGCUGCAGCUACGUUAGCUGUAGCGCCUCUUACAAACAAACGCUGCUGCUAUGCCUUCCUCUGAUUUUUCACUUUUUCGUUUAUUUUGCUUUACAUUUUAUUUUUCCCUUUCUCCUUUUUCUAUUUCUUCCAUUUUCAUUUAAAUUUCUAUUUGUUUAUCAUCUUAUUUUCUUUCCGUUAGUAGUAGCGCUCUUCCCUGGAAACACGCUGCUAACUGUGCUCUAGCAGUAGCGCGUUUCUGUUAAGCUCGCUACUGCUAUGCGUAGCCUAGCAUUCUGCCAAUGGGAAUAUUAGUAGUAGCGCUUUUUUUACAAUAGGCGCUACUGCUAAAUUUGUGUCUGUAGCGCAGUUUUUAAUAGCUCGCUACUGCUAUAUAGCACUAGCGCAGUUUUUUGAACCGCGCUGCUGCUAAGAUUCUGUGUAUAGCCUUUUCCCUAGUAGUGAACCGUAGGCAGCACAGGAGAAAUCACCGCCACAGAAGAUCCAGCCGGCGCAUGAUCCGAGGCGGAUCCGUGCGACAGCUCGGCUGGCUCGGGCUCCAGAUCCGAGGAAGAUUCGCGCAGCGCAGGCGCCGAAUCAGCGCGCGUUGAUUCCUCCACCGCCGUGGGCCCAUGCGACGUGGGGUCCGCCCCACAUGCACGCGCACGAUCGGUUGCGUCCGCCGAUGCACUCCCCCCGGUACGCGGGCUGUCAGCGCGUGGGGACCCGGCGGCUGACGACGCAGCAUGAUUGGCUCGGGGCGACGCCGUGGGUCCGGUGGGCUCCACCCUAUCAGCCCGGUCGGCCACCAGCCCGGAUGAGGCCAGGCGCACGGGCGGAUCCGCUUGGGAUCGCACGCCGCCAGGUGCGGCAGUCUGGGCGGGCGUAUCGGCCUCGGAUCGCCCGCUGGCAGCCGAAUCUGCCUCGGGUUCCGUGACCUGCCUGUCUUUUCCUUCACACAUAAAAUCACAGGGUAAAGUUGCACAAAUAACAUCAGCAGAAUCAGAUUUUUCAUGGGAUUUUUGCAUAUGAUCUCGUUCAUUUAAUUCCCCCUCACUAUCAUAUAAUGUUGCUGAAGGAAAUAUGCCCUAGAGGCAAUAAUAAAGUUAUUAUUUAUUUCCUUAUUUCAUGAUAAAUGUUUAUCAUUCAUGCUAGAAUUGUAUUAACCGGAAACAUGAUACAUGUGUGAAUGCAUAGACAAACAAAAUGUCACUAGUAUGCCUCUACUAGACUAGCUUGUUAAUCAAAGAUGGUUAUGUUUCCUAACCAUGAACAAAGAGUUGUUAUUUGAUUAACAAGGUCACAUCAUUAGUAGAAUGAUCUGAUUGACAUGACCCAUUCCAUUAGCUUAGCACACGAUCGUUUAGUAUGUUGCUACUGCUUUUAUCCAUGACAUAUACAUGUUCCUGUAACUAUGAGAUUAUGCAACUCCCGUUUACCGGAGGAACACUUUGGGUGCUACCAAACGUCACAACGUAACUGGGUGAUUAUAAAGGAGUACUACAGGUGUCUCCAAAGGCAGAUGUUGGGUUGGCGUAUUUCGAGAUUAGGUUUUGUCACUCCGAUUGUCGGAGAGGUAUCUCUGGGCCCUCUCGGUAAUACACAUCACUGAAGCCUUGCAAGCAUUACAACUAAUGAGUUAGCUGUGAGAUGAUGUAUUACGGAACGAGUAAAGAGACUUGCCGGUAACGAGAUUAAACUAGGUAUUGGAUACUGAGGAUCGAAUCUCGGGCAAGUAACAUACCGAUGACAAAGGGAACAACGUAUGUUGUUAUGCGGUCUGACUGAUAAAGAUCUUCGUAGAAUAUGUAGGAACCAAUAUGGGCAUCCAGGUCCCGCUAUUGGUUAUUGACCGGAGAUGUGUCUCGGUCAUGUCUACAUUGUUCUCGAACCGUAGGGUCCGCACGCUUAAGGUUUCGAUGACGGUUAUAUUAUGAGUUUGUGUAUUUUGAUGUACCGAAGAAGUUCGGAGUCUCGGAUGUGAUCACGGACAUGACGAGGAGUCUCGAAAUGGUCGAGACAUAAAGAUUGAUAUAUUGGAAGCCUAUAUUUGGAGUUCGGAAUGAUUCCGGGUGAAAUCGGGAUUUUACCGGAACACCGGGGGGUUACCGGAACCCUCCCGGAGGCUAUUGGGCCUUAGUGGGCCACGAGGGAGAAGAGGAAGGGCCGGCCAGGGCAGGCCGCGCGCCCCCUCCCCCCCUAGUCCGAAUAGGAUAAGGAGAGGGGGGCGGCGCCCCCCCUUCCCUCUUCCCCUCCCCCAAUCCUACUCCAACUAGGAAAGGGGGGAGUCCUACUCCCGGUGGGAGUAGGACUCCUCCGGCGCGCCUCCUCCAAGGGCCGGCCGCACCCCCCCUUGCUCCUUUAUAUACGGGGGCAGGGGGGCACCCUAGAACACACAAGUUUGAUCUACGGAUCGUUCCUUAGCCGUGUGCGGUGCCCCCCUCCACCAUAUUCCACCUCGGUCAUAUCGUUGCGAAGCUUAGGCGAAGCUCUGUGCCGGUAGAACAUCAAGAUCGUCACCACGCCGUCGUGCUGACGAAACUCUCCCUCCCCGAAGCUCUACUGGAUUGGAGCCCGAGGAGCGUCAUCGAGCUGUACGUGUGUCAAGAACUCGGGGGCGUCGGAGUAACGGCGCCGGGAUCGGUCGGAUCGCGAGGAGAUCGUACGACUACUUCCUCUACGUUGUGAUCGCUUCCGCUUCGGUCUACGAGGGUACGUAGACAACACUCUCCCCUCUCGUUGCUAUGCAUCACCAUGAUCUUGCGUGUGCGUAGGAAAUUUUUUGAAAUUACUACGUUCCCCAACAGUGGCAUCCGAGCCUAGGUUUUUAUGGUUUGAUGUUUUGCACGAGUAGAACACAAGUGAGUUGUGGGCGAUACAUGUCAUACUACCUACCAGCAUGUCAUACUUUGGUUCAGCUGUAUUGUGAGAUGAAGCGGCCCGGACCGACAUUACGCGUACGCUUACGCGAGACUGGUUUCACCGCUACGAUCACUCGUUGCUUAAAGGUGACUGGCGGGUGUCUGUCUCUCUCACUUUAGUUGAACCGAGUGUGGCUACGCCCGGUCCUUGAGAAGGUUAAAACGGAGUCUAUUUGACAAAGUAUCGUUGUGGUUUUGAUGCAUAGGUGAGAUUGGUUCUUGCUUAAGCCCGUAGCAGCCACGUAAAAUUUGCAACAACAAAGUAGAGGACGUCUAACUUGUUUUUGCAGGGCAUGUUGUGAUGUGAUAUGGUCAAGACGUGAUGCUAUAUUUUAUUGUAUGAGAUGAUCAUGUUUUGUAACCGAAGUCAUCGGCAACUGGCUGGAGCCAUAUGGUUGUCGCUUUAUUGUAUGCAAUGCAAUCGCCCUGUAAUGCUUUAAUUUAUCACUAAGCGGUAGCGAUAGUCGUAGAAGCAUAAGAUUGGCGAGACGACAACGAUGCUACGAUGGAGAUCAAGGUGUCGCGCCGGUGACGAUGGUGAUCAUGGUGGUGCUGCAGAGAUGGAGAUCACGAAGCACAAGAUGAUGAUGACCAUAUCAUAUCACUUAUAUUGAUUUGCAUGUGAUGUUUAUCUUUUAUGCAUCUUAUCUUGCUCUGAUUGACGGUAGCAUUAUAAGAUGAUCUCUCACUAAAUUAUCAAGAAGUGUUCUCCCUGAGUAUGCACCGUUGCCAAAGUUCGUCGUGCCCAGACACCACGUGAUGAUCGGGUGUGAUAAGCUCUACGUCCAUCUACAACGGGUGCAAGCCAGUUUUGCACACGCAGAAUACUCAGGUUAUACUUGACGAGCCUAGCAUAUGCAGAUAUGGCCUCGGAACACGGAGACCGAAAGGUCGAGCGUGAAUCAUAUAGUAGAUAUGAUCAACAUAAGAUGUUCACCAUUGAAAACUACUCCAUUUCACGUGAUGAUCGGUUAUGGUUUAGUUGAUUUGGAUCACGUGAUCACUUAGAUGACUAAGAGAGAUGUCUGUCUAAGUGGGAGUUCUUUAGUAAUAUGAUUAACUGAACUUAAAUUUAUCAUGAACUUAGUACCUGAUAGUAUCUUGCUUGUUUAUGUUUGAUUGUAGAUAGAUGGCUCGUGCUGUUGUUCCGUUGAAUUUUAAUGCGUUCCUUGAGAAAGCAAAGUUGAAAGAUGAUGGUAGCAAUUACACGGACUGGGUCCGUAACUUGAGGAUUAUCCUCAUUGCUGCACAGAAGAGUUACGUCCUGGAUGCACCGCUAGGUGCCAGGCCUGCUGCAGGAGCAACACCAGAUGUUGUGAACGUCUGGCAGAGCAAAGCUGAUGACUACUCUAUAGUUCAGUGUGCCAUGCUUUACGGCUUAGAACCGGGACUUCAACGACGUUUUGAACGUCAUGGAGCAUAUGAGAUGUUCCAGGAGUUGAAGUUGAUAUUCCAACAGAAUGCCCGGAUUGAGAGAUAUGAAGUCUCCAAUAAGUUCUAUAGCUGCAAGAUGGAGGAGAAUAGUUCUGUUAGUGAGCACAUACUCAGAAUGUCUGGGUACUACAAUCACUUGACACAAUUGGGAGUUAAUCUUCCGGAUGAUUGUGUCAUUGACAGAAUUCUUCAAUCACUGCCACCAAGCUACAAAGGCUUCGUGAUGAACUAUAAUAUGCAAGGGUUAGUAAAGACUAUACCUGAGCUCUUCGCAAUGCUAAAGGUUGCGGAGGUAGAAAUCAAGAAGGAGCAUCAAGUGUUGAUGAUCAAUAAGACCACCAGUUUCAAGAAGAAAGGCAAAGGGAAGAAGAAGGGGAACUUCAAGAAGAACAGCAAGCAAGUUGCUGCUCAGGAGAAGAAACCCAAGUCUGGACCCAAACCUAAAACUGAGUGUUUCUACUGCAAGCAGACUGGUCACUGGAAGCGGAACUGCCCCAAGUAUUUGGCGGAUAAGAAGGAUGGCAAGGUGAACAAAGGUAUAUGUGAUAUACAUGUCAUUGAUGUGUACCUUACUAGAGCUCGCAGUAGCACCUGGGUAUUUGAUACUGGUUCUGUUGCUAAUAUUUGCAACUCGAAACAGGGACUACGGAUUAAGCGAACACUGGCAAAGGACGAGGUGACGAUGCGCGUGGGAAAUGGUUCCAAAGUCGAUGUGAUCGCGGUCGGCACGCUACCUCUACAUCUACCUUCGGGAUUAGUUUUAGACCUAAAUAAUUGUUAUUUGGUGCCUGCGUUGAGCAUGAACAUUAUAUCUGGAUCUUGUUUGAUGCGAGACGGUUAUUCAUUUAAAUCAGAGAAUAAUGGUUGUUCUAUUUAUAUGAGUAAUAUCUUUUAUGGUCAUGCACCCUUGAAGAGUGGUCUAUUUUUGAUGGAUCUCGAUAGUAGUGAUACACAUAUUCAUAAUGUUGAAACCAAAAGAUGCAGAGUUGAUAAUGAUAGUGCAACUUAUUUGUGGCACUGCCGUUUAGGUCAUAUCGGUGUAAAGCGCAUGAAGAAACUCCAUACUGAUGGACUUUUGGAGUCACUUGAUUAUGAAUCACUUGGCACUUGCGAACCGUGCCUCAUGGGCAAGAUGACUAGAACCCCGUUCUCCGGUACUAUGGAGAGAGCAACAGAUUUGUUGGAAAUCAUACAUACAGAUGUAUGUGGUCCGAUGAAUGUUGAGGCUCGUGGCGGAUAUCGUUAUUUUCUCACCUUCACAGAUGAUUUAAGCAGAUAUGGGUAUAUCUACUUAAUGAAACAUAAGUCUGAAACAUUUGAAAAGUUCAAAGAAUUUCAGAGUGAAGUUGAAAAUCAUCGUAAUAAGAAAAUUAAAUUUCUACGAUCUGAUCGUGGAGGUGAAUAUUUGAGUUACGAGUUUGGUCUACAUUUAAAACAAUGCGGAAUAGUUUCGCAACUCACGCCACCCGGAACACCACAGCGUAAUGGUGUGUCCGAACGUCGUAAUCGUACUUUACUAGAUAUGGUGUGAUCUAUGAUGUCUCUUACAGAUUUACCGCUAUCGUUUUGGGGUUAUGCUCUAGAGACGGCCGCAUUCACACUGAAUAGAACACCGUCAAAAUCCGUUGAGACGACACCUUAUGAACUAUGGUUUAGCAAGAAACCAAAGUUGACGUUUCUUAAAGUUUGGGGAUGUGAUGCUUAUGUGAAAAAGCUUCAACCUGAUAAGCUCGAACCCAAAUCGGAGAAAUGUGUCUUCAUAGGAUACCCAAAGGAGACAGUUGGGUACACCUUCUAUCACAGAUCCGAAGGCAAGACAUUUGUUGCCAAGAAUGGAUCCUUUCUAGAGAAGGAGUUUCUCUCGAAAGAAGUGAGUGGGAGGAAAGUAGAACUUGAUGAGGUAAUUGUACCUUCUCCCUUACUUGAAAGUAGUUUGUCGCAGAAACCGGUUUCUAAGACAUCUACACCAAAUAGUGAGGAAGUUGAUGAUGUUGAUCAUGAAACUUCAGAUCAAGUUACUACAGAACCUCGUAGAUCAACCAGAGUAAGAUCCGCACCAGAGUGGUACGGUAAUCCUGUUCUGGAAAUCAUGCUACUAGAUCAUGAUGAACCUACGAACUAUGAAGAAGCGAUGGUGAGCCCAGAUUCCGCAAAAUGGCUUGAGGCCAUGAAAUCUGAGAUGGGAUCCAUGUAUGAAAACAAAGUAUGGACUUUGGUUGACUUGCCCGAGGGUCGGCAAGCAAUAGAAAACAAGUGGAUCUUCAAGAAGAAGACUGACGCUGACGGUAAUGUUACUGUCUACAAAGCUCGACUUGUCGCAAAGGGUUUUCGACAAGUUCAAGGGAUUGACUACGAUGAGACCUUCUCACCCGUAGCGAUGCUUAAGUCUGUCCGAAUCAUGUUAGCAAUUGCCGCAUUUUAUGAUUAUGAAAUUUGGCAAAUGGAUGUAAAGACUGCAUUCCUGAAUGGAUUUCUGGAAGAAGAGUUGUAUAUGAUGCAACCAGAAGGUUUUAUCAAUCCAAAGGGAGCUAACAAAGUGUGCAAGCUCCAGCGAUCCAUUUAUGGACUGGUGCAAGCAUCUCGGAGUUGGAAUAAACGCUUUGAUAGUGUGAUCAAAGCAUUUGGGUUCAUACAGACUUUUGGAGAAGCCUGUAUUUACAAGAAAGUGAGUGGGAGCUCUGUAGCAUUUCUGAUAUUAUAUGUAGAUGACAUAUUAUUGAUCGGAAAUGAUAUAGAAUUUCUGGAUAGCAUAAAGGGAUACUUGAAUAAGAGUUUUUCAAUGAAAGACCUCGGUGAAGCUGCUUACAUAUUGGGCAUUAAGAUCUAUAGAGAUAGAUCAAGACGCUUAAUUGGACUUUCACAAAGCACAUACCUUGACAAAAUUUUGAAGAAGUUCAAAAUGGAUCAAGCAAAGAAAGGGUUCUUGCCUGUGUUACAAGGUGUGAAGUUGAGUAAGACUCAAUGUCCGACCACUGCAGAAGAUAGAGAGAAAAUGAAAGAUGUUCCCUAUGCUUCAGCCAUAGGCUCUAUCAUGUAUGCAAUGCUGUGUACCAGACCUGAUGUGUGCCUUGCUAUAAGCUUAGCAGGGAGGUACCAAAGUAAUCCAGGAGUGGAUCACUGGACAGCGGUCAAGAACAUCCUGAAAUACCUGAAAAGGACUAAGGAUAUGUUUCUCGUAAUGGAGGUGACAAAGAGCUCAACGUAAACGGUUACGUUGAUGCAAGCUUUGACACAGAUCCGGACGAUUCUAAAUCGCAGACCGGAUACGUAUUUACACUAAACGGAGGAGCUGUCAGUUGGUGCAGUUCUAAACAAAGCGUCGUAGCGGGAUCUACAUGUGAAGCGGAGUACAUAGCAGCUUCGGAAGCAGCUAAUGAAGGAGUCUGGAUGAAGGAGUUCAUAUCCGAUCUAGGUGUCAUACCUAGUGCAUCGGGUCCAAUGAAAAUCUUCUGUGACAAUACUGGAGCAAUUGCCUUAGCAAAGGAAUCCAGAUUUCACAAGAGGACCAAGCACAUCAAAAGACGCUUCAAUUCCAUCCGGGAUUUAGUCCAGGUGGGAGACAUAGAGAUUUGCAAGAUACACACGGAUCUGAAUGUAGCAGACCCGUUGACUAAGCCUCUUCCACGAGCAAAACAUGAUCAACACCAAGACUCCAUGGGUGUUAGAAUCAUUACUAUGUAAUCUAGAUUAUUGACUCUAGUGCAAGUGGGAGACUGAAGGAAAUAUGCCCUAGAGGCAAUAAUAAAGUUAUUAUUUAUUUCCUUAUUUCAUGAUAAAUGUUUAUCAUUCAUGCUAGAAUUGUAUUAACCGGAAACAUGAUACAUGUGUGAAUGCAUAGACAAACAAAAUGUCACUAGUAUGCCUCUACUAGACUAGCUUGUUAAUCAAAGAUGGUUAUGUUUCCUAACCAUGAACAAAGAGUUGUUAUUUGAUUAACAAGGUCACAUCAUUAGUAGAAUGAUCUGAUUGACAUGACCCAUUCCAUUAGCUUAGCACACGAUCGUUUAGUAUGUUGCUACUGCUUUUAUCCAUGACAUAUACAUGUUCCUGUAACUAUGAGAUUAUGCAACUCCCGUUUACCGGAGGAACACUUUGGGUGCUACCAAACGUCACAACGUAACUGGGUGAUUAUAAAGGAGUACUACAGGUGUCUCCAAAGCCAGAUGUUGGGUUGGCGUAUUUCGAGAUUAGGUUUUGUCACUCCGAUUGUCAGAGAGGUAUCUCUGGGCCCUCUCGGUAAUACACAUCACUGAAGCCUUGCAAGCAUUACAACUAAUGAGUUAGCUGUGAGAUGAUGUAUUACGGAACGAGUAAAGAGACUUGCCGGUAACGAGAUUAAACUAGGUAUUGGAUACUGACGAUCGAAUCUCGGGCAAGUAACAUACCAAUGACAAAGGGAACAACGUAUGUUGUUAUGCGGUCUGACCGAUAAAGAUCUUCGUAGAAUAUGUAGGAACCAAUAUGGGCAUCCAGGUCCCGCUAUUGGUUAUUGACCGGAGACGUGUCUCGGUCAUGUCUACAUUGUUCUCGAACCGUAGGGUCCGCACGCUUAAGGUUUCGAUGACGGUUAUAUUAUGAGUUUGUGUAUUUUGAUGUACUGAAGAAGUUCGGAGUCUCGGAUGUGAUCACGGACAUGACGAGGAGUCUCGAAAUGGUCGAGACAUAAAGAUUGAUAUAUUGGAAGCCUAUAUUUGGAGUUCGGAAUGAUUACGGGUGAAAUCGGGAUUUUACCGGAACACCGGGGGGUUACCGGAACCCUCCCGGAGGCUAUUGGGCCUUAGUGGGCCACGAGGGAGAAGAGGAAGGGCCGGGCAGGGCAGGCCGCGCGCCCCCUCCCCCCUAGUCCGAAUAGGACAAGGAGAGGGGGGCGGCGCCCCCCCUUCCCUCUUCCCCUCCCCCAAUCCUACUCCAACUAGGAAAGGGGGGGGAGUCCUACUCCCGGUGGGAGUAGGACUCCUCCGGCGCGCCUCCUCCAAGGGCCGGCCGCACCCCCCCUUGCUCCUUUAUAUACGGGGGCAGGGGGGCACCCUAGAACACACAAGUUUGAUCUACAGAUCGUUCCUUAGCCGUGUGCGGUGCCCCCCUCCACCAUAUUCCACCUCGGUCAUAUCGUUGCGAAGUUUAGGCGAAGCUCUGCGCCGGUAGAACAUCAAGAUCGUCACCACACCGUCGUGCUGACGAAACUCUCCCUCCCCGAAGCUCUACUGGAUUGGAGCCCGAGGAGUGUCAUCGAGCUGUACGUGUGUCAAGAACUCGGGGGCGUCGGAGUAACGGCGCCGGGAUCGGUCGGAUCGCGAGGAGAUCGUACGACUACUUCCUCUACGUUGUGAUCGCUUCCGCUUCGGUCUACGAGGGUACGUAGACAACACUCUCCCCUCUCGUUGCUAUGCAUCACCAUGAUCUUGCGUGUGCGUAGGAAAUUUUUUGAAAUUACUACGUUCCCCAACAGUUGCGGGAUCAGAGAGAAGGGCAAUCUCUGCACGAAGCAAGGCGCCGGCAUUAGGAUGCAAUUUGGAAAACGGAAAGAGUGUCUCAUCAAAAACAACAUCACGUGAAAUAUAGAUGCGUCUGGUAGAGAUUUCAAGGCACUUAUAACCUUUAUGAAGAUUACUAUAGCCAAGAAAGACACACUGUGUGGAUCUAAACUCAAGUUUAUGACGGUUGUAGGGACGCAAAUUUGGGUAGCAAGCACACCCAAAUAUCUUGAGAUAGUUGUAAUCAGGUUUUUGAUGAUAGAGACGCUCUAAAGGAGUAGUGUUUCCAAUAACUUUGCUAGGGAGCCUAUUGAUAAGAUAGGUGGCAGUAAUGAAAGCUUCGUCCCAAUACUUGAGAGGCAUAGAAGCAUGGGCUAACAGAGAAAGACCAACUUCAACGAUGUGGCGGUGUUUACGCUCAGCAGAGCCAUUCUGUUGAUGAGCAUGGGGGCAAGAUACAUGAUGGACAAUCCCAAUACUGCGGAAAAAAGAGUGAAGUUUCUCAUACUCCCCUCCCCAGUCACUUUGGACGGCGAGGAUUUUUCUGUCAAAUUGGCGCUCAACAAGUUUCUGAAACUCUUGGAAAAUAGAGAAGACUUCAGAUUUAUAUCGAAGUAAAUAAAUCCAAGUGAACUUGCUAUAAUCAUCGAUAAAACUGACAUAAUAUUUUUUCUGACCAAAAGAAUCUCAGGCAUGGCCCCAUACAUCACUGAAAAUAAGUUCUAAUGGAGCAUGAGACACACUAGUUGACUUGGGAUAAGGAAGCUGAUGGCUCUUGGCACAUUGACAGGCUUCACAGACAGACUCACAAACUGAACUAGGAGACAAAGAAAGUUUGUCUUUAUUGACUAUUUGUUUGAAAUUGAUCGAAGAUGGAUGCCCUAAUCGUUGAUGCCACCGUGCCAAAGAGGGCUUGAUGACGGAGUAGACGUGACGACGCUUGCGACCUAGUGCUCCGGAUGGAAUAGGGUAGAGCCCUCCAACGCAUCUACCGUGAUGAAGUAGUUCCCUCGUUGCCCGAUCCUUGAUGAAAAAAUAACGAGGGUGAGUUUCAAAGAAGACAUUGUUGUCGGUGGCUAGUCUAGACAUUGAUGCAAGGUUUUUGUCAGCUUGAGGAACAUGAAGCACAUCUCUAAGAACAAGAUCGCGUUUAAGUGUAGGGGAAUUAAUAGAACUUUGACCAAUAUGACAAAUAUACAUACCUCCACCACUAGCAGUGUGAAUCUGAUCGGCGCCAUGAUAGCGCUCGCGUAGAGCAAGUUGCUCGAGUUCGUUCGUCACAUGAUCCGUAGCACCGGAGUCGACGUACCAGACGCCAUCUCCAGCCUGCUCACGCAUGGCGGCAGCAACGUGGCGAUCUGAGGGCACGAAGUCCUCCUCGUAACUAUGCCAGCAAUCAAUCACCUCGUGGCCAGACUUUUUGCAAAGCUGGCAUCGAGGUCGCGGGCGGGAAGGAGCGCGGCGGCCGUUGUUGUUGUUGAAGCCGCCGCUGUUGCCGCUGUUGUUGUAGCCGUCCCCGCCACCAGAGCGUGCGCCAUCGCCAGGGAAGGAGGCGCCGCGUCCGCGCCCACCGCCGCGCUGCCCCUGGUGACCGCGCCCACGGCCGCGACCACGAGAGGCGGAGUUGACAGAGGAUUGCCGAAGGUCGCCGCCAUGGAGCAGAGUUAGCCGGGCAUCAAAACAGAGCAGUUGGAUGUAUAGUUCUUGGACGGUGAUGGGUUCCACCCGGGCAGCAAGUGCAGAGACCACCGGGUUGUAUUCCAUGUCCAAGCCGGCAAGGAUUUUGGAGACAAUCUCCGGAUCAGAGAGGGUCGCAGCCGUGCUUGCGACCUCAUCAGUGAGACUUUUUAUUUUACCAAGAUAAUCAGCCAUGGAUAGGUUACCUUUCUUGAGGUUGGUGAGCUCGAUGCGAGUGUUUAUCGCUUGGGCUUGGCUUUGUGCAGCAAACAUGGCAUGGAUGGUGCGCCACACCUCAGCCGGCAUCUGGAGCGUGGCGACCUGGGCAAGGAUCUCACGGGAAAGUGAACCCAUUAGGUAUCCUUGGAGUUGCUGCUGCUGUGCAUACCAGAGGGAUCUUGCAAAGUUGACGACUUGUUCUUCUUUGCCUUCCGUGGUGAUGGUGAGGGUGGCGGGUGGUGGUGGGCUCGUCGCGUCGAGGUGGUGCUCCAUCUGGGCGCCUCUGAUCUGCGGGAGCACUAUGGCCUUCCAGAGCAAAAAAUUGCCCCGCGUCAGCUUCUCCUGUGGGGGCGAUCCGAGAGAGGUGGUGUUGUGGGUGGAGGAGGAAGAUGAUGCAAAAGUAGAGGAUGAGGUGGUGGUGAGUGCACCCAUGGUACUUGGGGUCAUGGCUGCGAUGGUGGUGGACAUACUCUCGGUCGCGAUGGUAGCUAGAUGCAAUCUCUCUCGAUUGGAUGAGGAAGAGGCUCUGUUACCAUGUAAAAGUGGUUUGGGAAGCGUAGAACCCUUUGUCUCGGGCCGCAUGUAUAUAUUAGGCAGAAGCCUUGGCACACAAGUUUACAGGGGGAGAGAUCGAUCAGAUGGGAUCUAUCAAGUCGUUACAGAAGGAUCGUGAAAGACAGAAGAAGAGAUAGAACAGAAUACAGAAUUUAAACCAACUCUAUCUCUAUACAACUUCUACUACACGUCUACUAUACGCAUAUUCCAACAGUUAACACCAUGUGGCGCCGCUUCAGCUCGCCGCCCGAGGGUCAAGGUCCGGCUACUUAAGCCGUACAACGUCCCCCAGCCCUAGCCACAUCCGCUUCCUCCCUUCCGUGUUGGCAGCCCGAGCCCAUCUGCUUCUUUCCCCUCUUCCCUUGCCAUCCGCCAUGGCCGGGCAGAAGAAGACCACCUACACUAUGCUAACGUCGGAGCAGCGCUUCCAGAUGCUUGAGGAGAUCUAGGCUAGGCGGACCGUUCGGAUCACAGCGGACCUGCCUCUAAAUUCGCUGGAGCAGCAAUCGGAGCCCAUGGAGUAGGAGGAGGAGGAGCCGGAGCCGGUUGCGGACUUUGCCAUGGAGGACACCCUGGCGGAGUUCGAGGUCGCCCAAGUGGUGGAGAUGGCGUAGCAGACCGCUACGCCAUCCAGGAUGAGGCAUAUGUCGAAGCCAACUGGUGGUUCAUCCGGCAAGAAUGGGCGGCGACCGUCUUCUGCCAAACUGGACACGGAGGAGGAGGCAAAGGCCGACACGGAGGUGCCGCAUGUGCCAGAGUUGCAGCUGCUGCCCAUGUACCCGGAGCCGAGCACGAAGAUCGUGGGCAUCUUUGACAAGGAGUAGGGCAGUGUAGGUUCUGGUUGAUUUACGUAGUAGUAUAUGGGUUUUUUCUCUUUUGCAUGCUUUAUAUGGAUUUAAGGUUUCAAGUAUGAGUAAUUCGGAUGCAUAGAACGAAACUUGAGGGUUGCCCGGUCAAUGCACGCAAACGCGCCUGGGCGCGUCCGCGGGCGUUUGAGGGCCUGAAUUUGGUGUCCACGGCUGUAGAUGCUCUAAGCGGCAUGCCGAUUAGUCAAAACCUAUGUAUAUGUGUGGACAAAAGUAAAUUGAUGCAUUCAAACAUACGGGACCCGGAAAUUUUCUCUCAGGAUACCUUGGUGCCAAUUAUAGCAUACCAAAUCCUUCUCCAUAUCCAUGUCAAUUAACUACCAAAUAAAUUUCUACCGAUCCUCUUAAAAAUAAGUUCAAGUCUGCCAUUAUAAUAGAAGUACGACUAAUGUAUUUUCUUGUGAUAUAUUAAUUUCAAUUUUCAAUUCUAUAGUUUUUGGUAUGUUAAUUUGUUUCUUUAGAACCUUCAUUUGCAUAUUUUCCAAAGCAAAAGGUACAAUAAAAAAUGUGUAGGGGAGCAGAAAAAAGAGGGAAAACAAACUGAAAACAAAAGUGAAAAUAGAUAAAUAAACAACAAAAUGUCAUAAUUCUACCUAAACAGACUAAUAUAGCACAAGAAAAUGCAUUCCAUGUAAUAUGAACCUCCCCAAGCCCAUACAUUUUGCCAAAUUUUCGUCUAAUUUGUUGUUUUAGACACUUCAUUUGCGUAUUUUCCAAAAAUAAAAGUGCAACAACAAGGUGUAGGAAAACAGGAAAAAAGAGAGGGGAAAACAAAAGUGAAAAUAGAUAAAUAAACAACAAAAUGUCAUAAUUCUACCUAAACACACUAAUAUAGCGCAAGAAAGUACAUUCCGUGUAAUAUGAACCUCCCUGAGAGCAUAUGUUUAUCCACGAUCAGUUUGAGCAUACUGAAGAUGAUGCUCUGGCAUUUGCGAAGGCCACUGGGUUAGUUACUAGAAUAGUAAAAAUAGAGACCAAAAGGGUUGAGCACACCAAGUAUAGUGAUCCAUGAUAUGCAUCAAAGCAUGUAACAACUAGUUAAGCAGGAUGCCGAUUAGUCAAAACCUAUGUGUAUAUGUGGAGAAAAAUUAAAUGGAUGCAUUCAAACAUAUGGGACCCGAAAAUGUUCUCUGGGGUACCUUGGUGCCAAUUAUAGCAUAUACCAAAUCCUUCUCCAUAUCCAUGUCAAUUAAGUACCCAAUAAAUUCGUAACGAUCCUCGUAAAACUGAAAAGGGGAAACAAUAAGUUCCAGUCCGCCAUUAGGCAUCUGAUGAGAACCUACGUGACGACAUAAGUUGAAAACUCGAAACGUUAAAUCUACUCCAAUUAUGGGAAGCAUUGAGUGUGCAUGGACGCGUCCAGGGAAGAGUGAGAGAGAGGAUUGAGAUGUGCUCGCCAAGAUUACUACGAAUUAAGUCCGUGAUCUCGACCACAUUAAACCCAGCCAGCCUGUGAUCUCAAUAUCUCAUGCGAUCUUCAAAUUUGGCAAGUGAACUUGCAUUCCUCUCAGAUCAUCUCCGGCCUUGUAUAAGUAGGCUCGCACAGAUCCCAUCCAAGAAGAACUCAACUCGUGUGCCAAGAAAAACCAAAUCCAAACCGCGUCCAUGGACGUGGUGCAAGUCGCCAAUGAGGAGGUGCAGCCGGCGCCGACCCUGGAGCUAAACCUCCUCGGCGCUGUCGGUGCUGAGGCGAACGCCGUGGCGGAGGCGGAGAAGGGAAAGGCCAAGUCGAGUGAGGCCACUGAGGCGGCCGGGCCUUCGUCGGUGGUGGCAGUCGCCGGCGGCGAGAAACGCCGCGUGUUCAAGUGCAACUACUGCCCGCGCAAGUUCUACACGUCGCAGGCGCUGGGCGGCCACCAGAACGCUCACAAGCGCGAGCGCUCCGUCGCCAAGGGCGUCGCUGCGGGGCGGGGCGCCGGCCCUGGCGGCCCACUCGUGCCGCACCACCUUCGCUUCCCCAACGCCUGGCCCUAUUCCGCCACCGGCAGGUCGUUCCUCGGCGUCGCGGCGCCGUUCUACGGGAUGCACAUGCACCCCAACCUCCCCGGGUGGGGCCCGGCGGCCCAGCCGUCCCUCGCCGGGCUCACCCGUCACGCCGGCACCGGCCGCCCGAUGUACCCGCGGGCGGAGGCCUACAGCUAUGGCGCGUCGCCCAGGGCCCUCAUCCCGGCGGCCUCCCCUCGCACGACGUCGAUGACCGCGAUCCAGUGGGGUGGUGGCAGUGGCAGUGGCAGUGGCAACGGCGGCGAUCAUAGUGAAGCGAAGCAAGAAGAGGAGGAGAUCGCCAACACGGUAGACUUGACUCUCAGGCUCUAACUAAGCUCCGUAGGGUCUGAUCAUUACUCCGUUAGAGCCUUAUAAGCUUCGGUCUUGUUGUUGACAAUAGUAGUCAAAUGCUAUCAGUCAUUUAAUUAGUUGUUGAUAGGAGAAGUUCAUUCAGUUCUUGGUCGCUUGGCUCUUAUGGAACGAGCCCAACAACAGAAGUUUUGAAGUUAAGUUCUCGUCGGGUGACCGCUUGUUAGACCUCAUCAAAUCGGCGGCGCAUGAUUGGUUUAUAAGGCUGGGGCUUUAUGUCUUGAAAAUCUGUUUGUUUAGGCCUCUAUCAUCUCGCUCUCAUGUUUGGUUUGUAUGGUGGUUUGAAUUUUGUUGUAUCUCUAAGACAUCUGCACUCUUUUCUUCUUCUAUAUAAUGAUCACAUGCAAUUCUCUCUUGCAGGGUUCAAAAAAAAAGGAAGUUAAUUAAUUAAGUUAUUUCUUGUAUUUGUUAGUGCAUGGUCAACUAGCUGCUCAGGGUUCUAGCAAGUAAAUAUUUACACUUCUGCUUCAGUACACCCGCUAAACACAUCAACAAAUGAGAUCUUUCGUUACUCCUUCAUCAUAAUAAAGGGUAGGAUGAUUUAUUUUUUAAAACUUCAUCGCGCGCGCCGAGCAUGAUACGCUGCCUGCAUACAUAUCACACCGGGCCGGCCCAUUUCCCACUUUUUUCCUCUUCUGUAAAACCUAAUAAAGAAAGUGCUGACAAGAUUCCAACCGAGCACCUAUACGCUUAACUAACCAAUAAAUACUACAUCCUUCGGGAGUAUACUAACAUGCGUACGACGGCCUAGUUGGGCCAAGGCCUAAGAGGUCACCUAUACUCAUAUAAGCUCAUGUAAAAAAAGGAGUCAUUUGAUGCUGAAAAAAUAUGCUCUCAAAUGGAUCCUUCUAACCUAUCCGGAUACUCUGCAUUGAACAUGGUCUAUUUUGGACAUGCCUGAAAUGAUCCUAUUUUUUUUCAGUAGGUGAGCAUGCCUAUGAUAGGCAUGCAUCCAUGUCAUAUUUUAACUAAUUCCGACACCGCAUGCAAGUUCGGUCAUGCCCCAUCAUUUAUCGGUCAUUUUUCAUCGAGAAAACUCCAAUAAAUGCAAGAAUUGUCAAAAACUCAAAAUACUUCGUAUGGUGCUUCAUUGAAAAAAAAAAUUGUCCAAUUGAAGGAUGUGGAGGCACAACAUGCUCUUAGAUGGAGGCUUCUGGCCAACCCGAACACCCUCCAUUUAACAUGGUCUAGUUUUUACAUUCUUAAAAUGAUCCUAACUUUUUCAAGCAGGUGGGCAUGCCCAUGGUAGUCAUGCCUGGUUUGAAAAAUUUCUGAUACCGUAUGCAAGUUGCAACACGUCCAUCCAUUUAUUGGCCCUUUUUGACCGAGAAAACUUCAGGAAAUGCAAAAUUUAUCAAAAACAAAAAUAACUUGGCAUGGUGCCUUGAAUUGGUCAGACAAGGCGAUGAAAAAAAUGAUGUCAGGAAACAACACGCUAUUAGACGGAACCUUCUGGACUAUCCGGACACCAUCCAUUGAACAUGAUCUUUGUUUGAACAUCCUUCAAAUGAUCCCAACUUUUGCAAGCUGGUCAACAUACCCAUGGCAGGCAUUCAUGUCAGAUUUAAAUGACUUUCGGUACAAUAUGCAAGUUGCGACACAUCUGGCAAUUUAUCUACCUUUUUUACCGAGAAAACUCUAGAAAAUUAAAAUUUUGUCAAAAAACCAAAAUAACUUGGAAUUGUGCCCUGGAUUGGUCAUACAAGGCAAUAAAAAAAUGAGGGUCAAUUCAAGGAUGUCGAGAAACAACACCCUCCUUUAAAUAUGGCCUAGUCUUGGACAUUCUUGAAAUGACCCCAACUUUUGCAAGCAGGUGGGCAUGCCCAUGGUAGGCAACCAUGCCAGGUUUGAACGAUUUUUGACACUGUAUGAAAGUUGCGACACGUUCGGCUAUUCAACGGCUUUUUUAGUGAGAAAACUUCAGAAAAUGCAGAAUUUGUCGAAAACCAAAAUAACUUAACAUGUUGCUUUGAAUUGGUCAUAAUAGACCAUGGAAAAAAUUAGGCCCAUUUCAAAGAUGUCAAAAAACAACGUGCUCUCAGACGGGCCCUUCUGUCCUUACCCAAAUACCUUCCAUUGAACAUGGUGUUUUUGUGGACACCCAUGAAAUGAGCCCAACUUAUACAAGCAUGUGGGCAUGACCACAUUAAAAAUCCAUGCGGGUUUGAAGGAUUUUCGACACCAUAUUUGAGUUGCGACACAUCUACCUAUCUCCCGUUUUACCGAGAAAACUACAGAAGAUGCAAAAUUGUAGAAAACCAAGAUAACUUAGCAUGAUGCCUUGAAUUGCUCCUACAAGUAAAUAAAAAAUUGGGGUCAUAUGAUGGACUUUGAGCCUUCUGGCCUACCCGGACACCCUACAUUUAACAUGGUGUUUUUUUGAACAAUCUUGAAAUGAUUCCAACUUUUGCUAGCCGGUGGGCAUGUCCAUGGUAGUCGUCCAUGCCAGGUUUGAAGGAAAAAAAGUAUUUGAAAUCAUAGUUUGAUCAGAUACUUAAAACUCUUAUUUUGAUUUUUAACAUAACUAAUAAAUACAAAGGGAUAAAUUUGAAAAUAGUAAAUACUUUCUUUUAAAAUAAAUUCAUAAACAUUUUACAGAAGAAAUAAUUUAAAAUUAUUAUUUAAAAUAGUUAAUUAUAACUUAUAUUUUGGUAUUCAAAAAGGUGAAAAUGAAUUAACACAUUAGAGAGAGAAAAAUAGAAAAGUAGAAAAUAAAAUAAAACGCUUAUGCCUUAACCCAACUAGGAGACGACAUCCCUCCUGUCGGGCACACGUUGGGCCAGCCCAAGGGCUCCCGGAUUUGAAAAAGUUCAUCAGUUGUUUUUAAUAUAUACAUGGAUUUGAAUUUUUUUUGCAAAUUUUCAAAAAGACAUUACUAAAAUAGUUGCAAAGAAACGUUCCCGGUUUUGGGAACCUCAGCUUUCUUGCCGCUUUUUCCAGUUUUGAGAACCUACUAGGAUGUCGUGAACCGCAUUUUAUUCUCUUCUUUUUAUCAACUCUCUAGUUUACUUUUUUCUCUUUCUUUUUUCCUUUUUGUUAUAUUUGACUUUUCAUUUUUUUUUUCUGUUUAUAUUUCUCAUAAAUUAGAAAAUUUCAAAUUUCAAAAUUUGUUCAGAAUAUCCAAAUAUUUCAUGUUCUUCAAAUUUUGCUCAAUUAUUUAUUUAUUUAUUUGCAUUGUUUCAGAAAAAAAGAAUGUUUAAAGUGUCCUAUUUUUCAUAUUCAUUAAUAAAUGUUAAAAAUCCGGAAAAUGUUCAGAAUUUUCAAAUCUUGUUUUGGUUUCAAUUUUUGUUCAUAUUUUCUAAUCAAUGUACAAAAAUAAAAAAUGUUCACAUUUCAAAAACAAAUCAUAAAUUUGGUAAAAUGUUCACGUUGUCAGAUUUUGUUCUGAUUUUUGGAAGGUAUUCCCAUUUAAAAAAAAUUGUUCACGGAUUUAAAACUGUUUGCUUUUCCAAAUUUUGGUCAUAUUUUUAAAAUGUGCCAGCGUUCUGGAUACGGGGGUACCCAGACUUGCCUGCCUGCGGCCCACGACGUGGCUCCAUUGACGCCCUGGUACGGCCCAGCUUUAGCAUCAACAACUCAAGACCCUCGCGAGGGGUCAAGCCUCGCGAGGCGGACGACGCCAAGACCUUCAAGGGGAUCGGCCUCCCCAGGCUGGCUCCCGAGGAGCGGAGAUUUCUAUGCAAGGUGCACCUCGCGAGGUUCGGUUGACGUGAGCCAUGACGACCAAGGACAGGCGGGCGCCAGUGGGCGCAGAGUACCAGUUUCCUCUUCGGUGCAAGGGAGGCAAGCAACAGGAAUGGAGUCCCGAGAAAUCAACCAAAGAUUUCCAUUCUAAUGCAACAAGACCAAGACCGCCAACACGGCAGGACAGAGGUCACCACCGAGCCCACCGCAGCGUCACAACCAGAGGCUUUUGUAGGCGAAGACCGCUUUAGUCAGGAUAAGAUGUACCUGUUGUCUCCCUUCAAAUUUGGCUGUCGUGGGAUCCCUUCCCACCUACAUAUGGGAAGAGGACGAAGGCCACUAUAAAUAGGACCUAGCCACCACCAUGGGAUGGGAUCGAAUCUAUUCCACCCUCUCCACCUCACCAGCUCACUUGAGCUUAAGAACACGCCUCCUAAGGCUGUUCUCCACUGUACUAGUUCUUCCUAAGCCCCUCGAGGCAAUCCACCACAAAACAGGAGUAGGGUUUUACACCGCAAGAUGGCCCGAACCUGGGUACAUUGUCGUGUCUUUCUUUCCCUUCGAGCUCGACGCGAUAGGCUGUGAGGUUUGCGAAUUGUCAGGCUGGGUAGGUUGAGAUCACUGCAUGCACCCCAGAGUUCGAACCUCUCAAGGGUUUGUGGAACCCGAAAUCCGACAAAAUGUGCCCGUUUUAAAAUUUUCUUCACAAAUUAAAACACGUCCCCUUUUUCAAAAUUUGUCGACAGAUUGAAAUAAUGUUCAGGGAGUUUCAAAUAAUCUUCAUGCAUUCAAAGUUAUUCAUAAUAUAAAAAUAUUCAUGUUUAAAAAGAACUGCACAAAUACAAAAAGAUGUCCAGGGAAAUUUUAAAAAAAUUGGUUUCAUUUUCUGUUCGUUUUUUCUGUUUUCUGGAAUUCAAAUUUAGUUACUGUUUUCUUUAAAUGUGUUCAAAAUUUUGUUGACUCUUUUUGAAAAAUGUGUGUAUUUUGACAUUAUGAGUAAUUUUGAAAGAUAUGAACUUUUGGUGAAAUUUCUUUAUCAUUUUUAGAAAUACUAAUAUUUUUAUUUUGUGAAAAGAAAAGGAAAAAUGAAACCCGAGUGGAAGUCAUGCAUAAAAAAACAAAGAAGAACCAAAGAGUGAAGGAGUUGUGUUUUUUCUUAGAUUUAUCUAUCUCGGUCAACAAGAAAAGAACAAGGUUAUUAGGCAUGCCAGAUAAGCUAUCCCAGAUGGUUUGUGCGCUUACAUACAGUUCGUGAGCUCUAGUUCGAAUCGCGUGUUGGACAUCUAUAUUUUGAAGUUUAAAAGCAAAAAAAACUGUGUUAGCCCAGGAGGAGGGGUGUGCACUACGAAUCGUAUGGCGUAUGCAUUCUACAUAUGACAGUGGUACGAUUUGCAGAAGGUCCAUACUACCCUUUAUAUGUUUUGUGAGGGGAGGGGGGAGGGGGGGUGUACCAAAGUGGGAAUCAAAUAUUUAUCUCUUGUUUCAUGCACUAUAGAUACUAGAUGAUACCCCGCGCGUUGCUGCGGGAAUUUUGUAUCAAAUGAUGUUCAAAAAGUAAGCGUACAUAAAACUAUGGAGUUCAAUGAUAUGAUGGUAUUGGAUGUUUUAGAUACCAAAUAAACGGCCGAUGUCCAACUCAUACUUGCAUAAUCAUAUAAAUAUCAUGUUUCUCUAGGUUUAGAAAGAAUAUACACAUUGUGGAAUAGAUCAAUUGUGUUCCCAUAACAAUGUCCAACACGAAGUAAAUCAAGGCAAGACAAUGAAAAAUUGCAGGUACAGAUGCCGACUUGAGGAAAGAAACGCCUCUAAGGUGAUACGGUGCAGCUGAUAUAUAUGUGGCAUACUUCCUUGUUAUAGCUAGCGUUUGUUAUACUGAACCAUAUAGUAUAUUAGCUAGUUCCAUAUAAAUGUUAUUUGAAAACCCUGAAGUGUAUCAUAAAUUAUUUUUACUCCCACUAAUUUUAAUUCAUGUGUCGUGGUAUAUUCAUCUGAGUGUGUGUAUGCAGAGGAUGAGAUGGCCAAAGUUAUUAUGCAUCUGAGCAUGUGCUGACAUCUGUCAUCAUAUCCGUCUUGCUUGAUUUCUGUUCAAGUGUGGAACCAUGGCAUUUGCAUAGUAAUAAUAAAUCAGUUGCUACGUAUAAUUGUAGCUUGAUGGAAAAUCAAGACAUAUUUGCAUAUUUGUUUUGCGCAUAUUAGGCAGCUCAAAUGUUGCAUGAGUCGCCCCUCAUGUAUGUCUAAGAAAAGGUGCAUAAAAGCAUGGUAAGAUGUAGCCAAGUCCAUAUCGGUGUAUAUGCUAACGUUGCCUAGUCGGAAGAAAGGAACCAAAAUAUAUAUGAGAUACUGUAUUCCAAUGUAGGAUGAUGACGUGAAUAAUAGAGGAACAAACCCCCUUGUACAUGAACACCGCAAUACCAUAACUUGGAAGAAGAAUUUAAGGCUACACAGAGCAUGGAUCCUAAAGCAAAUUGGCUAUGGUCGAUCAAAAUCUCAAGUAAAAUUGCUAUAUGCUUUAUCAGAGUAAGUUCUACACUACCGGCCAUACUCUCCUUUUAGCUUAUGUUUAGUAAAUUGUAAGCAUGCACAUCAUAUUGAAUCAAACUCUGAUGGUCUGAUGUGUAAACAAAUUUAGUCAUUUUUUGCCAUGACAAUAUCAUGUACUCCCUCCGUAAACUAAUAUAAGAGCGUUUAGAUAACUAUUUAGUUAUCUAAACGCUCUUAUAUUAGUUUACGGAGGGAGUAUAAAUCAUUGAAUGAGUAACAUACUGGAUUGCUGGUCGUAUUAUUUCUAGAAAGUUCUUACAACCACUGCUAUUUUCUGUCUACAUCCUUUGAAAUAACAAUGAAGGGACGGGGGAAAGUCCAAAAUAUCAUGGUGAAACGUCUGAACACCGUCAGAAAAACCAAUAACAGGAUCUCUCACCUUAGGAAAUCCCAAAUGCUCGUGAUUACACAUCAGUCAAGAAAAUCCAGAUCAAGUCUUGCUAUGAUGGAAUAGAAUAACAAAACAUGAGUGGGCAUAUAUAGGAACAAAAGAAAGAAAUUCAUUAGGAAAUAGACAAUAUUUUCUAUAUUCUGGUGGUGGAAGAGAGAAUGAGCUCACGGGCUAUUGAUCUUGUCGUGGCCGUGCCGAAAAGCUAGUGAUUGCUGACUCCAUCGUCAGGUCUAGAUGUACCUCACUUAGCAAUGCGGGCUCACAUCAAUUCUCUCCUUGGCAUCCUCACAGCCUUGCUAUCCUUGUGAAGGCGUCUACCUGGAUUCAUAGAAGGCCAGCAAAUGGUUUGGCAAUGGGACUAUGGGAGCCCUACACACAUGACGGGAGCGCCACCACGGGCCCCACUCGGCCGACCCGCCGCCACUUGCUCUGGGGUGGGGAAGGUGACCGGAGGACGCGCCGGCACCGAGCAGGGUUCGCCGCGGCCUUCCCAGACUUAUGCCGAGACACCCGGCGCGCGACCGCAAGUUAAUCGCGGAGAGUAGCCGGUUCCGAUCUCGGCGUGGCGGCAUCCUCCGCGAGGUGCUCUACUUCCCAGUCGGGAGCGCCUACGCUGGGGAAGCUGGAGGCAGGGCGGGGACGGCCACCGGGGGAACUCGUCGCCAGGGAGGGGGCGCCUCUCGCCAUUGCUUACCCUGCCAAAAAAAUAAAUUGCAUGUGCACGCCCAAGCAGUCCAGAGAGAAAUGCAAGACGGGAAGAGCAACUGAAUCGCCGGUGUAGGAAAUCGAUCCGUUUCUGUUGGUAGUGGAAUUUGAUGCAGUUUGGAGAAGAUGAAGAGGAAAGGGUGCUAAGACAUGACGCGCUGCGUUGAGGAAAAACGAUGCGAUGGGGAAUCAUGUGCACAGGUCACAGACGAAAUUCUCCUGAGAAAAAUAAAUAAAUAUUGAUGCUUAUGUGGCGGUGGGUCCUUAGCAAGUAAUAACCGAAGCUUGUGUGGUAAGGGCGUUCUAGUGGUUGGACCCAUAUGUAAGUCAAUAAAAGAAUGAUGACAUGGCUGAUGUGCUUAGGUGGAUAGGCUGCAUGUCAAGAGAAUUAGUUUAGUGGGGAUGAACUAUUUAGGUAUUAUAGAUUAUAGAUUUGCAAGCAGACUCCCCUAGCAGUAGAAGCCACCGGUGCCUCCACCGUUACACCGACUCCGCAUCCCCAUCAUAGGUGUUAGCCACGAAGACCUCCUGAGACGGGUUGUAGCUUCCCGGGCUCUUGGUGUCGAGCCAAAUUUAAGAACCGAGGGUGCAUUUGCCAUGAUAUGCACAAUUAUCUAGAUACACAUACUUUCCUUCUAAAUCCACAUCUGCCAUGAUGUAUAGAGGGUAUUUUCCAUGAUUUCAAAAGACCUUGGCAAAUUCGCUUUACAGAACACGGCAAAUUCACUUUAUGGAUCAUGGCACAUUUUUUUGACAAUGAAAAUUUCUUUCCUCAUCGUCCAUAGCAAAUUCAUCUUAUUGUCCAUGGAAAAUUUACAUUUUUCAAUAAAUUGACAUGUUUCAAAGAACAAAAAUUCCAACACUUGAUUCCUUCUGUGUCCAUGGAAAAUCCAUAAAAAAUCCCAUAUUUUUCAAAAAAAAUCUAACUUAAUGGCCCAUGGAAAAUGUAGUUUACGUCUAUGGGAAAUUCACCUUUUCCGACCAUGCAAAAUUUAUUGUUUGGAACAUGCCAUUUAAAAAAAGAUUAGACCAUCAUAAUUUUGGUUUUCACCAUAAAGUUUUACUAUUUGACCAUGGCAAAGAUUUUCUUUUACAGGCCAUGGACAAAUUUAUUGGUUUCACCCUUGCAGAUUCAUUUUGCUGGUUAGACACUGAUAAAAUUAAUUUUUUAAACCUUGACAGAGUUUAAAAUGAAGGAAAUAUGCCCUAGAGGCAAUAAUAAAGUUAUUAUUUAUUUCCUUAUUUCAUGAUAAAUGUUUAUCAUUCAUGCUAGAAUUGUAUUAACCGGAAACAUGAUACAUGUGUGAAUGCAUAAACAAACAACAUGUCACUAGUAUGCCUCUACUAGACUAGCUUGUUAAUCAAAGAUGGUUAUGUUUCCUGACCAUGAACAAAGAGUUGUUAUUUGAUUAACGAGGUCACAUCAUUAGUAGAAUGAUCUGAUUGACAUGACCCAUUCCAUUAGCUUAGCACACGAUCGUUUAGUAUGUUGCUACUGCUUUUAUCCAUGACUUAUACAUGUUCCUGUAACUAUGAGAUUAUGCAACUCCCGUUUACCGGAGGAACACUUUGGGUGCUACCAAACGUCACAACGUAACUGGGUGAUUAUAAAGGAGUACUACAGGUGUCUCCAAAGGCAGAUGUUGGGUUGGCGUAUUUCGAGAUUAGGUUUUGUCACUCCGAUUGUCGGAGAGGUAUCUCUGGGCCCUCUCGGUAAUGCACAUCACUAAAGCCUUGCAAGCAUUACAACUAAUGAGUUAGUUGUGAGAUGAUGUAUUACGGAACGAGUAAAGAGACUUGCCGGUAACGAGAUUGAACUAGGUAUUGGAUACCGACGAUCGAAUCUCGGGCAAGUAACAUACCGAUGACAAAGGGAACAACGUAUGUUGUUAUGCGGUCUGACCGAUAAAGAUCUUCGUAGAAUAUGUAGGAACCAAUAUGGGCAUCCAGGUCCCGCUGUUGGUUAUUGACCGGAGACGUGUCUCGGUCAUGUCUACAUUGUUCUCGAACCGUAGGGUCCGCACGCUUAAGGUUUCGAUGACAGUUAUUAUGAGUUUAUGUAUUUUGAUGUACCGAAGAAGUUCGGAGUCCCGGAUGUGAUCACGGACAUGACGAGGAGUCUCGAAAUGGUUGAGACAUAAAGAUUGAUAUAUUGGACGGCUAUAUUCGGACACCGGAAAGGUUCCGGAAGUUUCCGGAGAAAACCGGAGUGCCGGAGGGGUUACCGGAACCCCCCGGGGGAAGUUAUGGGCCUUAGUGGGCCAAGAGGGGAGAGAGAGGGGCCGCACCAGGAGGUGGCGCCCCCCCAGGGGAGUCCGAAUAGGACAAGGAGGGGGGGGCGCGGCCCCCCUUUCCCUCUCCCUCUCCCUCUCUUUCCUUCCCCCUUCUCCCUUCCUAGUUGGACUAGGAGAGGGGAGUCCUACUCUAACUAGGAGGAGGACUCCCCCCUCCCUUGGCGCGCCACUAGGGCCGGCCGGCCUCCCCCUUGCUCCUUUAUAUACGGGGGCAGGGGGGCACCCUAGGACACACAAGUUUGAUCUACGGAUCGUUCCUUAGCCGUGUGCGGUGCCCCCUUCCACCAUAUUCCACCUCGGUCAUAUCGUCGCGAAGCUUAGGCGAAGCUCUGCGCCGGUAGAACAUCAAGAUCGUCACCACGCCGUCGUGCUGACGGAACUCUCCCUCGACACUCGGCUGGAUCGGAGUACGAGGGACGUCAUCGAGCUGUACGUGUGUCAAGAACUCGGGGGUGCCGGAGUAACGGCGCCGGGAUCGGUCGGAUCGCGAGGAGAACGUACGACUACUUCCUCUACGUUGUGAUCGCUUCCGCUUCGGGUCUACGAGGGUACGUAGACAACACUCUCCCCUCUCGUUGCUAUGCAUCACCAUGAUCUUGCGUGUGCGUAGGAAAAUUUUGAAAUUACUACGUUCCCCAACAGUGGCAUCCGAGCCUAGGUUUUUAUGGUUUGAUGUUUUGCACGAGUAGAACACAAGUGAGUUGUGGGCGAUACAAGUCAUACUACCUACUAGCAUGUCAUACUUUGGUUCAGCGGUAUUGUGAGAUGAAGCGGCCCAGACCGACAUUACGCGUACGCUUACGCGAGACUGGUUUCACCGCUACGAGCACUCGUUGCUUAAAGGUGACUGGUGGGUGCCUGUCUCUCUCACUUUAGUUGAACCGAGUGUGGCUACGCCCGGUCCUUGAGAAGGUUAAAACGGAGUCUAUUUGACGAAGUAUCGUUGUGGUUUUGAUGCGUAGGUGAGACUGGUUCUUGCUUAAGCCCGUAGCAGCCACGUAAAAUUUGCAACAACAAAGUAGAGGACGUCUAACUUGUUUUUGCAGGGCAUGUUGUGAUGUGAUAUGGUCAAGACGUGAUGCUAUAUUUU